UACGUAGGUGGCAAGCGUUAUCCGGAAUUAUUGGGCGUAAAGAGUGAGCAGGCGGCAGUUUAAGUUUGGGGUCAAAUCGAGGGGCUCAACCCCUUCUCGCCCUGAAAACUGAACAGCUAGAGUGCAGGAGAAGUAAGCGGAAUUCCAUGUGUAGCGGUGAAAUGCGUAGAUAUAUGGAGGAACACCAGUGGCGAAGGCGGCUUACUAGCCUGAUACUGACGCUCAGUCACGAAAGCGUGGGUAGC
rnacentral:rRNA from 1 species